rnacentral:rRNA from 1 species
CCUACGGGAGGCAGCAGUGGGGAAUAUUGGACAAUGGGCGCAAGCCUGAUCCAGCCAUGCCGCGUGAGUGAUGAAGGCCUUAGGGUUGUAAAGCUCUUUCACCGAUGAAGAUAAUGGCGGUAGUCGGAGAAGAAGCCCCGGCUAACUUCGUGCCAGCAGCCGCGGUAAU